UACGUAGGGUGCAAGCGUUAAUCGGAAUUACUGGGCGUAAAGCGUGCGCAGGCGGUUGUGUAAGACAGAUGUGAAAUCCCCGGGCUCAACCUGGGAACUGCAUUUGUGACUGCACGGCUGGAGUGCGGCAGAGGGGGAUGGAAUUCCACGUGUAGCAGUGAAAUGCGUAGAGAUGUGGAGGAACACCGAUGGCGAAGGCAGCCCCCUGGGCUAACACUGACGCUCAGGCACGAAAGCGUGGGGAGCAAACAGG
rnacentral:rRNA from 1 species